GAAAUGCGAUAAGUAAUGUGAAUUGCAGAAUUCAGUGAAUCAUCGAAUCUUUGAACGCACCUUGCGCUCCUUGGUAUUCCUUGGAGCAUGCCUGUUUGAGUAUCAUGAAAUCUUCAAAGUAAAUCUUUUGUUAACUCAAUUGGUUUCUACUUUGGUAUUGGAGGUCUUUGCAGCUUCACACCUGCUCCUCUUUGUUCAUUAGCUGGAUCUCAGUGUUAUGCUUGGUUCCACUCGGCGUGAUAAGUUAUCUAUCGCUGAGGACACUGUAAAAGGUGGCCAAGGUAAAUGCAGAUGAACCGCUUCUAAUAGUCCAUUGACUUGGACAAUACUUUUAUGAUCUGAUCUCAAAUCAGGUAGGACUACCCGCUGACCUUACGC
rnacentral:misc_RNA from 1 species